UUAGUAAUACUGAAUCGCGAUUUUUAAGUGGAAAAAGGAAAGAUAGAGACAUUCCACUUGGCGGCUGUAAAAAGGUCGAGUCUCAUUUACAUCCGGACUGAACCAGUAACCUGAACUCUGCUGGAACUGGCUUCAUUGUUCUUGAUUGAGAGGUUGGCAAUUUGGGCUUCAAGAUCUCUGCUUUUGUUUCGACGAUGUUUAGAGUGAUUCUGCUGUUGUGGCUGCUGAUGCUGUUGUUGUUGCAUUUGUUGCCUCUGCAUCUGAUACAGAGUUUGUAACCUUGUAAGUUCCCUCUCCAACAUCUCUUGCUCCACUGCAUCAUUAAAACAUGCUCUUUAAGUUUUUCUAUGGAACAAUUAUGUUGGCAUUAAAAAGCAUGCAUGCAACAUAUAUAACUCAAUGCUGAGUAAUAAUAAGGUAACAUGAAAGAUACAUACAAUGUUUUAUGAGCUGCUCUUGCGAUAAGCUAUCCAAACGCUGCCUCAGGGCUCUAUUCUCCAUGCUCAGUAUAAUAUUUUGUUGGUCAAGAAAUUCUAGCUCAGCAGAGAGCUCAGAUCCUUCUGCCUGAAAUCUCAGCACAUAAAAAUGUGUUACAAUUCUUGUUUCUCCCUUUUUUUCCCUUCUUUGAAAGUAAAUUUUUUGAGGGCAAGUGCUUAUACAAAGUCAAUGUCUUAUAGUAUUACUAUUUUUUGAUAGCUAAACAAAAAGACACAUCAAUGUUUCACAUUACAAAUAUAUAUAACUUUCUAAACUCAGGAUAUAAAGGGCAGAUAUUGAACUAAGAUAAAAUCUAUCAGACACUUACUUUUACCAAGUAAAAUAAACAACAACAACAUAUUCGGUGAAAUUCCAUAAGUGGGGUCUGAGGAGGGUAGUAUAUACGCAGACUUUACCCCUACCUUUUGAAGGCAGAGAGCUUGUUUCCAAUAGACCCUCGGCUUAAGAAAAUAAGAAUUUUGGUUGUUCAACUAAGUCAGUUAUUAGGCCAAUCCAAGAAAUAGGGUUAUUAGGCCAAUCCAAGAAAUAGGGCAAUUUUGCAGUAUGUACCUGCAAAGCUUGAACUGUUCUUUCAAGUUCAGCUAUGUGCUGAAGUUUUCUGACACGUGAUCGGUGAGCAGAUUGCCUGCAUAAUUCAGAUUUAUAUACAGCAGUGUGCUCUUUAAAACCUUACUGGAAUGUUUGGCUUGUGUAAUUCAGAUUCAACUAGUAGUUGACAUUGUAAUGAAACCUUACUGUUUAGCACGUUUUGCAUCAGCCUUGGACAUGGAAUGUUUGGCUUGUGUAUUGUUCGAUCUUUCACUAGAUCCCUCUUUGUUUUGUGUACUUAUGACCUCUCUGUUAUGCUUCUCAUUCAAUUCCAGAGCAGCCUAUAUAUGAAGAAGGAUCCUCAUUAGCUUCAGAAGUCAUGUCUCGGUCGCGUAUUUAGAUAUUAAAACAAUUCUGUACAAGCUAAAUUUUAUCUUAAUAGGGCAUGCACACCUUAGCAGAAGUUGGCUUUGUGUCAUAGGAAACUGAUGAAGUUAAAUGAUCUUUGUAACUGACGUAGUUGAUUGAAGAUCCUCCUACAUUUACAUUGUUGUUAAUUUCCCUUGUGUUUAACCUCUCUGCAGCUGCUCCUAGGUACGCAAAAGUGUCGCUAGCUGAACGACGAUGACCUUUGUGUACAACUAGUGUUUCUGCAGGUUCAUUCAAAAGGUCAUCAAGCCAAGAAGGUUGCUCCUCUAUAAGAAAGCUCUCCGAGUUACACCGAUGAUGGUG
rnacentral:lncRNA from 1 species